ACCGAUAGCGAACAAGUAC
rnacentral:snRNA from 1 species